rnacentral:rRNA from 1 species
UACGUAGGCAGCAAGCGUUGUUCGGAGUUACUGGGCGUAAAGAGUGCGUAGGUGGUGCCCUACGUCUGUUGUGAAAUCUCCCGGCUUAACUGGGAGGGUGCGGUGGAAACUGGGGUGCUUGAGUGUGGGAGAGGUAAGCGGAAUUCCUGGUGUAGCGGUGAAAUGCGUAGAUAUCAGGAGGAACACCGGUGGUGUAGACGGCUUACUGGACCACGACUGACACUGAGGCACGAAAGCGUGGGUAGCAAACAGG